rnacentral:snoRNA from 1 species
CUGCUGUGAUGAUUGAUUCCACAACCAUUCGUAGUUUCCACCAGAAACACUAGCUGUGUUGGUCAGUUCCUUCCUUGGAUGUCUGAGCGA